rnacentral:rRNA from 1 species
UACGGGGGGAGCAAGCGUUGUUCGGAUUUACUGGGCGUAAAGGGCGCGUAGGCGGCCACCGCAAGUCGGGUGUGAAAUCCCCAGGCUUAACCUGGGAACUGCAUUCGAGACUGCAUUGCUAGAGUUCGGUAGGGGAGACUGGAAUUCCUGGUGUAGCGGUGAAAUGCGCAGAUAUCAGGAGGAACACCGAUGGCGAAGGCAGGUCUCUGGGCCGAUACUGACGCUGAGGAGCGAAAGCGUGGGGAGCGAACAGG